rnacentral:rRNA from 1 species
GUCGAGAACCUUUGCAAUGGCGAAAGCACGACAAGCUUAAUCCGAGUGUCUCCUGCUAAAGGAGUCUUUUGUCAGUUGUAGAAUCACUGGCGAAUAAGGGGUGGGCAAGUUCUGGUGUCAGCCGCCGCGGUAAAACCAGCACCUCGAGUGGUCAGGAGGUUUAUUGGGCCUAAAGCAUCCGUAGCCGGUUGCAUAAGUUUUCGGUUAAAUCUAUGCGCUCAACGUAUAGGCCGCCGAAAAUACUGUGCAGCUAGGGAGUGGGAGAGGUACACGGUACUCAGUAGGAAGGGGUAAAAUCCUUUGAUCUAUUGAUGACCACCUGUGGCGAAGGCGGUGUACCAGAACACGUUCGACGGUGAGGGAUGAAAGCUGGGGGAGCAAACCGGAUUAGAUACCCGGGUAGUCCCAGCUGUAAACGAUGCAGACUCGGUGAUGCAUUGGCUUGUGGCCAAUGCAGUGCCGCAGGGAAGCCGUUAAGUCUGCCGCCUGGGAAGUACGUACGCAAGUAUGAACUAAAGGAUUGGCGGGGGAGCACCACAAGAGGUGAAGCGUGCGG